CAGCUGCUGAUCUGGAGAAGUCAGACGCUCCUGACACAGUGGAUCUGAUGAUGAAGCGUUUCGGACCAGAAGAAGCUGUGAAGAUCACGGUGGACAUCUUGAGGAAGAUGAACCAGAACUAUCUGACUGAAGAGUUAGAGAAGAAACACAAGCGAGCUCCGGCUGAGAACAGUAUUGAGGUGCCUGUCCCUGUUGGAGCCCAAUCUGAACCGAUCAAUGACACAUUCACCAGCAUUGAUCACUGGACCACAAAGGACUUCCUACAAU